UUAAGUUCAGCGGGUAUCCCUACCUGAUCCGAGGUCAACCAUAGAAGGGGGUUCUGGCAGGCUACCGCCUAGCCCCAGAGCGAGAGCUGUACUACGCUUGGAGCCAGAUGCGCCGCCACUGAUUUUAAGGGCUGCCAGUUGGCAGGCCCCAACACCAAGCUGAGCUUGAGGGGUUAUAAUGACGCUCGAACAGGCAUGCC
rnacentral:misc_RNA from 1 species